CCCGGCCCUCCCGGCGGCGCGGGCGGCUCACCAGAGCCGGGGCCUCGAAAUAUGGCUGCGGCGGGAGGCGCCGUCGCGGCGCCCGGCCCGGACGGCCCCGCUCCCCGCCCCGCCGCGCCCUGAGCGCCCCCUCCUCCGCUUCCCCCGGGUCCCCCUCUCCAGGCAGGAAGAUGUCCAAGCCCCGCGCGGUGGAGGCGGCGGCGGCGGCGGCGGCGGUGGCAGCGACGGCCCCGGGCCCGGAGAUGGUGGAGCGGAGGGGCCCGGGGAGGCCCCGCACCGACGGGGAGAACGUAUUUACCGGGCAGUCAAAGAUCUAUUCCUACAUGAGCCCGAACAAAUGCUCUGGAAUGCGUUUCCCCCUUCAGGAAGAGAACUCAGUUGCACAUCACGAAGUCAAAUGCCAGGGGAAACCAUUAGCCGGAAUCUACAGGAAACGAGAAGAGAAAAGAAAUGCUGGGAACGCAGUACGGAGUGCCGUGAAGUCCGAGGAACAGAAGAUCAAAGACGCCAGGAGAGGUCCCCUGGCACCUUUUCCAAACCAAAAAUCUGAAGCAGCAGAACCUCCAAAAACUCCACCCUCAUCUUGUGAUUCCACCAAUGCAGCCAUCGCCAAGCAAGCCCUGAAAAAGCCCAUCAAGGGCAAACAGGCCCCCCGAAAAAAAGCUCAAGGAAAAACGCAACAGAAUCGCAAACUUACGGAUUUCUACCCUGUCCGAAGGAGCUCCAGGAAGAGCAAAGCCGAGUUGCAGUCUGAAGAAAGGAAAAGAAUAGAUGAAUUGAUUGAAAGUGGGAAGGAAGAAGGAAUGAAGAUUGACCUCAUCGAUGGCAAAGGCAGGGGUGUGAUUGCCACCAAGCAGUUCUCCCGGGGUGACUUUGUGGUGGAAUACCACGGGGACCUCAUCGAGAUCACCGACGCCAAGAAACGGGAGGCUCUGUACGCACAGGACCCUUCCACGGGCUGCUACAUGUACUAUUUUCAGUAUCUGAGCAAAACCUACUG
rnacentral:sRNA from 1 species